rnacentral:tRNA from 1 species
GGAGAGGUGGCCGAGCCCGGUUGAAGGCGCUUGACUCGAAAUCAAGUUCACCCACAGGGUGACGGGGGUUCGAAUCCCUCCCUCUCCGCCA